rnacentral:rRNA from 1 species
CGCUGGCGGCGUGCCUAACACAUGCAAGUCGAACGAAGCAUUUAAGUGGAUUUCUUCGGAAUGAAGCUUUUAUGACUUAGUGGCGGACUGGUGAGUAACACGUAAGCAACCUGCCUAUCAGAGGGGAAUAACAGUGAGAAAUCAUUGCUAAUACCGCAUAUGCUAACAGUAUCGCAUGAUACAGUUAGGAAAGGAGCAAUCCGCUGAUAGAUGGGCUUGCGUCUGAUUAGCUAGUUGGUGGGGUAACGGCCUACCAAGGCGACGAUCAGUAGCCGGACUGAGAGGUUGAACGGCCACAUUGGGACUGAGAUACGGCCCAGACUCCUACGGGAGGCAGCAGUCGGGAAUAUUGCGCAAUGGAGGAAACUCUGACGCAGUGACGCCGCGUAUAGGAAGAAGGUUUUCGGAUUGUAAACUAUUGUCGUUAGGGAAGAUACAAGACAGUACCUAAGGAGGAAGCCCCGGCUAACUAUGUG